rnacentral:rRNA from 1 species
UACGUAGGCAGCGAGCGUUGUUCGGAGUUACUGGGCGUAAAGCGUGCGUAGGCGGUGCUCCAAGUCUGUUGUGAAAUCUCCCGGCUUAACUGGGAGGGUGCGGCGGAAACUGGGGUGCUGGAGUGCGGGAGAGGUAAGCGGAAUUCCUGGUGUAGCGGUGAAAUUCGUAGAUAUCAGGAGGAACACCGGUGGCGAAAGCGGCUCCCUGGCCCGAUACUGACGCUCAUGUACGAAAGCGUGGGGAGCAAACAGG